rnacentral:misc_RNA from 1 species
GACCUAGAAUUUUGACCAAGAACUUGGAUCGUGGACACAAGGCUUUAAGGUCAUCUCUCUCUCAGCAUCAUUCCAAAUCAAGGCAAAUAAUAGACGAAAUAACAGUUUCAACAGUUUCUUGUCAGUUUGGAUUUGUGCGUAACUUACAAGCCGAGUAAAAUGAGCAAGGUGUCGCGUUACUCGUCUGACGGCAAGGUUUACGUGGGAGACUUAGGGAGCAAUGCUAGUAAGCAGGAUUUGGAGGAUGCAUUUUCUUACUAUGGACCAUUACAAAAUGUCUGGGUUGCCAGAAAUCCUCCUGGAUUCGCUUUCGUUGAAUUUGAGGAUCAGAGAGACGCGGAGGAUGCAGUGAGAGGAUUGGACGGUCGCACUAUAUGUGGAAGACGUGUCCGUGUAGAAUUGUCAAACGGAAAGAAACUAAGAGACAGAGGUUUAUCGAGAAAAGGUAGACCGUUUCAUCCCGAGGACAGAUGUUACGAAUGUGGCGAAAGAGGUCACUAUGCAAGAGAUUGCCAUCGUCAAAGGAGCUCUCACAAAAAGAGGAGUUGCGGCUGAGCAUAUACGAUGCACAAAAAUGUAUAUUGCUACCUCAUCGUAGUCGCGCGCAUCGAUUCACGCCUUGGGUUCACGUUUGUGACACGUCGCGGAUCGUAGUUACAGAAUAGAACAUCUACUUUAGAUUCCCUUUGCACACUUUGCGAGUGAGAAAUACGGCUAAAAGAAUAUGGGUGUAUACGGAGCGACUAGUUCUACGCAUCCACUACUGAUCUCCACUGGAUACUGAUCUACUGGCCAAUGGCUGAUCUUAAACCAAAAGUUUAAGCAUAUCUCUGGCGUUCUUCGUUCAAAAUAGUCGUUGUCGUCCUCGUCGUCCUCGUCGUCGUCGUCGUGGUCUUAGUCUUGAUCUUUGGUCUUCGUCUUGGUCUUACGUUGUCCCACUCGCGAUCAAAAUCACGAUCGCGAUCACGGUCGCGCUCAAGAUCUCGCUCGCGAUCGUCAUGGCGCAGUCGAUCCUGUAGCAGAAAUUCCUCUACCAAAAAUGAUCGCAA